ACUUCACGCCAGUCUGCCGCGAACGAUGCGUCGGGCGGUCGUGUUUUACGUCUCGCCCGUUAUCGCUCCCAACUUCGAAAUUGUUUUACGAAAAUAUGUAAAGUUUCUAAACAUCAAUUUGUGCAGAACUGCCGUGACUUACGCACUGCGUUGUGCUUAAUUAUAUAAGACCGACCUAAUUUAGUAGUUUUAAGUUUUUGAAACUUAAUAGGCUUACUCGUUUUACCUGCAUGCAUCGUCCCACGAGUCGUGCGAAGCGGUUACCUUUAUCGGAUAAACGAACAUUUUUCAAAUGGAUGUGCGUUUGUAUUCUGUGAUAGUGUGCGUGAUCAGUGUGAAUACGAGACAACUUCGUGUGUUCUUGUUUGCUGCCUGUGACAAGUUUUUACUGCAGUGACGUGCUCAAAAUAGUAAUAAUAUAGAAUUGAGAAAAUGGCACGCGGGGUAAAGAGGGGCUUCCUUGCCGCGCUGUUGAUCGGUUCGCUUGCGGUGGCGUCGGCGCAGUAUACGAAAGGUAUAAAUCAAAAGAGUCAGCAGUCAAGGAAUAAGAGAAGUUAUAACCACUCAACAACACAUAUUCGUUACUUGUUUUUAAAAUACAUACUUGCCUUAUUCGUAUUGUUUUUGUUAUUAAAAUAAAAACAUUUUCAAGACCAAAUUUAGCAUUGGUUGGUCGAGGUAUAG
rnacentral:misc_RNA from 1 species